AUCGCGCGGGGUAUAGUGUGUACCACAGUAGACGAUGAUCAUGACUAGACUAGACGAUACAGUAAAAUGA
rnacentral:snRNA from 1 species